rnacentral:rRNA from 1 species
UACGGGGGGGGCAAGCGUUGUUCGGAAUUACUGGGCGUAAAGGGCUCGUAGGCGGCCAACUAAGUCAGACGUGAAAUCCCUCGGCUUAACCGGGGAACUGCGUCUGAUACUGGAUGGCUAGAGGUUGGGAGAGGGAUGCGGAAUUCCAGGUGUAGCGGUGAAAUGCGUAGAUAUCUGGAGGAACACCGGUGGCGAAGGCGGCGUCCUGGACCAAUUCUGACGCUGAGGAGCGAAAGCCAGGGGAGCAAACGGG